rnacentral:rRNA from 1 species
GAUGAACGCUGGCGGCGUGCCUAAUACAUGUAAGUCGAGCGAACAGACGAGGAGCUUGCUCCUCUGACGUUAGCGGCGGACGGGUGAGUAACACGUGGAUAACCUACCUAUAAGACUGGGAUAACUUCGGGAAACCGGAGCUAAUACCGGAUAACAUGUUGAACCGCAUGGUUCAACAGUGAAAGACGGUCUUGCUGUCACUUAUAGAUGGAUCCGCGCCGCAUUAGCUAGUUGGUAAGGUAACGGCUUACCAAGGCAACGAUGCGUAGCCGACCUGAGAGGGUGAUCGGCCACACUGGAACUGAGACACGGUCCAGACUCCUACGGGAGGCAGCAGUAGGGAAUCUGCCGCAAUGGGCGAAAGCCUGACGGAGCAACGCCGCGUGAGUGAAGAAGGUCUUCGGAUCGUAAAACUCUGUUAUUAGGGAAGAACAAAUGUGUAAGUAACUAUGCACGUCUUGACGGUACCUAAUCAGAAAGCCACGGCUAACUACGUG